rnacentral:lncRNA from 1 species
AGUCACUGGGAGCGCUAACAAUCAUUCGUUCGUAAUAAAACAAACUCAUGGUCUUUAGGAAAAUCUUCGUCAUCUCCUUGUCUUCCAACGGAGGAUUAAUCUAAGUGGAAAGCUCUCUCCACCUUUGGGCAUACUCUUUAAAUGUCUCUUUGUCCUUCUGAGACAUAGACCUCAACUGGUCUCUAUCAGGCGCCAUGUCCACAUUAUACUUAUACUGCUUCACAAAAGCUUCACCCAAAUCAUUGAACGUGCGAAUACUUGCACUGUCUAGCCCCAUGUACCAUCUCAAAGCGGCACCAAUCAGACUAUCUUGGAAGUAGUGAACCAAUAACUGAUCAUUAUCAGUUUGAGUUGACAUUUUUAUGGCAUAAAUGACAAGGUGGCUAAGUGGACAAGUAUUUCCCUUUUACUUUUCAAAGUCAGGGACUUUAAACUUCAUCGGGAUCUUAACAUUUGGUGCCAAGCAGAGUUCAACAACACUCUUACCGAAUAGAUCUUUUCCUCUCAACAUUUUAAACUCCUUGCACAGCUCAAGGAACUGAUCCUUCAUCUCAUCCAUCUUCUCAUAAGUAUUAGGGCCCUCAGACGGCUCAGAAUGGUAGGUGGUGUCCUCAACACGAGGUAGAGUAUGAACAACUGGAGGCGGCAUAAACAUGACUGGGCUAGAUGCCGCCAUAGAAGCAAAGGUGGGUGCAAACCCUUCAGGCAUAAAAUUUGGUGGCCUUCCCCACGGGAAUCCAACAGGCAUAGUCGGACCAGAUUGAGUAGCAGCAACAGGAAUAGUUGACGUAACAACCUCUGAGAUAAUAGUCCUCUGAGGAGGAGGAGGAGUUGUAGAAGUUGGAGAGGAUUGGUUCUGAGCAGCUAGAAUAGAC